UACAGAGGGGGCAAGCGUUGUUCGGAAUUACUGGGCGUAAAGGGCGCGUAGGCGGCCUUCUAAGUCGAACGUGAAAUCCCCGGGCUCAACCCGGGAACUGCGUCCGAUACUGGCAGGCUUGAGUGUGAGAGAGGAUCGUGGAAUUCCUGGUGUAGCGGUGAAAUGCGUAGAUAUCAGGAGGAACACCGGUGGCGAAGGCGGCGAUCUGGAUCAUAACUGACGCUGAGGCGCGAAAGCGUGGGUAGCAAAC
rnacentral:rRNA from 1 species